UUUAAACAAUGCCAUGCUUUUUCCCUUGUGGGUUUAUCAGGACACUCUUGCAGCCUUGAAGAAAGCUGUACCUUAGUGUUUAUGUGCUGUUGGUGUAGCCAUCUAUGUCAGCAUUUUCACUGUAUUACCAUGUAACCCUUUGACGUGAGAAUGCAAUAAAAAAGAGCAGACAGGGACUACCACUUUGGCAGUCUGAGGAAGCGCACUCACACAGUGUGUCCUCCGUCUGUCCCUUGCAAGAAAAACAAUCUUGCGGAUGAUCGACGAUGACUGAAAUCGGUGCACCGUCCGAGUCUCCAGGAGACCCGGAAAGUCCUCCUUUCCAUGAGGCCAGCCCUCGGACAUCCUCCGCCAGGAGAACACAAAUGUCAUCCUAUGAAUUGCAUGUGUCUCAACCAAUGGAGAUUGUCACAGGUCCCGGGGGACAACUAGUCCUCCGCCAGAUCGUUGAUUCCCAUGCCUCGUUCCCGCAAUCCUGUAUACCUGAUCUACAGUGUACCGACCCUCGCCUGGUCCCUGACCAUCCUAGUAAGCCUGCCUCUUCUGAUACUGCUGCUUUUCCUGACUGACUCGCUGAUCAUUGA